rnacentral:lncRNA from 11 species
AUGAGGAUUUCUGAAAACGAGUCCCACAACAUUUGGGGAAGUAACGGUGGAGGAAAAGCGCGGAGUUGGAAGGCCCGUCCGCUUCCCUUAAAUAUAUAUAUCGACAUAUUUACAUAUACACAUCGGGGUGUGAGUUGCACGCCGAAACCUGGGGGCAAACGUGGAGACGGAGCCAAAAAGGGCCCCGACUUUGAGAGCGUCGUAGAAAGGGCCUUCCUUCCGGAAAAGUCCGCUUGCCCCGCAAUGGCCGACCCGUGUCCCCGACUCCUCUUCAACGCUUCGACGACAGUGUUGUUUCCCCAAAAAAAACAUUAG